rnacentral:lncRNA from 1 species
AACCAAUAGUGGCACGCUUGCAAUCUUCAAUCUCAUAUUGAAGUAAAUUCCCAGCACACCCACAAGGACCAUGGCGAAUUUAUGGGGCGAACAGGUUCCUUCGGUUUGGUCCAUGAUGUCUGCCUAAGAGAGAUAAUAUAAGUGUAGUUUGUAACAUGUGCAGGCACCAACUUGCUUUACUAAAGCAACAAAAGGUAGUUUUCCAAAAAAAAAGCAACAAAAGGUAUGGUAUCGAUUCAAUCGAUUUUGAUUGUUUGUAACAGUAUGUUCACUUAACUUUUGACGAUCCUUCGCUCCAAACGCUGUGUACUUUGCUUGAGGUAUAUUAAAAAAACUACAAAAGCUUCUUGUAUCGUUUCAUCUACGAAAGCUUCUUGGAUCGCUUCAUCAUCUGUAUCGUCAAUAGGUUUCUUCCCAGUUUUGUUAUUUCCAGUUAUUUAUGUGCUACUUCAAGUCUUGAGGGUGUAUGACUCGAUGCCUCGCGAACAAGGAAAAAGAACAUUUACA